GCUACGGGGGCAGCUUUAUCCUCUUGUCAAUGUCCAGGUUUGGUUUUUCUUCAAAGAAGAAAGAUGAAUUUUCUUCAAAGAACAAAGAUGAAUUUUCUUCUUUGAAGAAAAAUCGAACCUGGACAUUGACAGAGUUACCUGCGGGC